rnacentral:rRNA from 1 species
GACGAACGCUGGCGGCGUGCCUAAUACAUGCAAGUAGAACGCACAGUUUAUACCGUAGCUUGCUACACCAUAAACUGUGAGUUGCGAACGGGUGAGUAACGCGUAGGUAACCUGCCCGGUAGCGGGGGAUAACUAUUGGAAACGAUAGCUAAUACCGCAUAAUAUUGAUUAUUGCAUGAUAAUUGAUUGAAAGAUGCUAUUGCAUCACUACCAGAUGGACCUGCGUUGUAUUAGCUAGUAGGUGAGGUAACGGCUCACCUAGGCGACGAUACAUAGCCGACCUGAGAGGGUGAUCGGCCACACUGGGACUGAGACACGGCCCAGACUCCUACGGGAGGCAGCAGUAGGGAAUCUUCGGCAAUGGACGAAAGUCUGACCGAGCAACGCCGCGGGAGUGAAGAAGGUUUUCGGAUCGUAAAGCUCUGUUGUAAGAGAAGAACGGGUGUGAGAGUGGAAAGUUCACACUGUGACGGUAGCUUACCAGAAAGGGACGGCUAACUACGUG